GGGUAACCUGGCGGCGAGUGGCGAACGGGUGAGUAAUACAUCGGAACGUGCCCUGUGAUGGGGGAUAACUACGCGAAAGCGUAGCUAAUACCGCAUACGACCUACGGGUGAAAGUGGGGGAUCGCAAGACCUCACGUCAUAGGAGCGGCCGAUGGCGGAUUAGCUAGUUGGUGAGGUAAAGGCUUACCAAGGCAACGAUCCGUAGCUGGUCUGAGAGGACGACCAGCCACACUGGGACUGAGACACGGCCCAGACUCCUACGGGAGGCAGCAGUGGGGAAUCUUGGACAAUGGGGGCAACCCUGAUCCAGCAAUGCCGCGUGUGGGAUGAAGGCCUUCGGGUUGUAAACCACUUUUGGCGGGGGCGAAAUAUCGAGUGCUAAUACCAUUCGGUGAUGACGGUACCCGCAGAAUAAGCACCGGCUAACUACGUGCCAGCAGCCCGGGGUAAUACA
rnacentral:rRNA from 1 species